rnacentral:tmRNA from 1 species
GGGGGUGUACCGGUUUUCGACGGGAGGUGUGAAGCUCAGGCAGCAUGUCGAGGAUGAUCGGUUGGCCUCGUAAAUCAUCCGAUCAAAACAAUAACUGCCGAAGAUUAUUCUUACGCAGUCGCUGCCUAAUUAAAGGCGGCAAAUCCGCUUCGUGGUGCGUCCGACGCGAGGCGGAUCAAGCUAGGACGCUGGCCCGGCGGGAUGCACCGACCGUCGGGUGAGAUCAAUCGGUGCUGGUCAUUCGUCGAGCCCGUCUUUCGGCGCGGCGGAUGACGAGACUAAAUGAAAGACUAAGCAUGUAGCGGCCUGGGUAGAUUGCCUUUCGGACAGGGGUUCGACUCCCCUCACCUCCACCA